CUGCAGGGCCAUGCAGCUGCAGGUCCUGGAAGGGUCUCCUCCUGGGUCUUGCUUCUGGGAGGGCAGUGGGCAAUGCAGUAGGCUUUGAGACUGCUGCUGGAUUGCACUGUGAGGUGCCACAAGGAGAAGACACCUCUGCACUAAUGCCAUGUCCUUGCUGCUGACUGGCUGUCUGUGGGCAGCUGGAGUGAGGCCUCUGCAGCCCUGGCAAAGAGGGAGAAGCUGAGGUCCUGCUCAUGCACUUGCAGACAAGACAACUGUGUUCAAUGUCAGAAAAUGCCCAACAGCAGCUCUGUGAGUGAAUUCCUCCUG